rnacentral:rRNA from 1 species
GAUGAACGCUGGCGGCGUGCCUAAUACAUGCAAGUCGAGCGAACAGACGAGGAGCUUGCUCCUCUGACGUUAGCGGCGGACGGGUGAGUAACACGUGGAUAACCUACCUAUAAGACUGGGAUAACUUCGGGAAACCGGAGCUAAUACCGGAUAACAUGUUGAACCGCAUGGUUCAACAGUGAAAGACGGUCUUGCUGUCACUUAUAGAUGGAUCCGCGCCGCAUUAGCUAGCUGGUAAGGUAACGGCUUACCAAGGCAACGAUGCGUAGCCGACCUGAGAGGGUGAUCGGCCACACUGGAACUGAGACACGGUCCAGACUCCUACGGGAGGCAGCAGUAGGGAAUCUUCCGCAAUGGGCGAAAGCCUGACGGAGCAACGCCGCGUGAGUGAAGAAGGUCUUCGGAUCGUAAAACUCUGUUAUUAGGGAAGAACAAAUGUGUAAGUAACUAUGCACGUCUUGACGGUACCUAAUCAGAAAGCAACGGCUAACUACGUG